rnacentral:lncRNA from 1 species
AGAUCCGGGAUUGAAUUCCACAUUAGGCACCCUGCAUGGGGCAUGCUCACUCUCUGUCUGAGUCACUCAUGAAUAAAUAAAAUCUUUAAAAAAAAAAAGGUGGAAAAAACACAAUGUUCAUCCCCUGAUGAAUGGAUAAAUAAUACCUGAAAUAGCCAUAUAAUGGAAUAUUGUUUAGGAAUAAAAAUGAAUAAAGUAUUCUAUACAUAUUCUAUUCUAUUCUAUUCUAUUCUAUACAUACUAUAACAUGGAUUAAGCUUGAAAAUGUUAUACUAAGUUAAAGAAGACAGCCAUGGGAUCCCUGGGUGGCGCAGCAGUUUAGCGCCUGCUUUUGGCCCAGGGCGCGAUCCUGGAGACCUGGGAUCGAAUCCCACAUCGGGCUCUCGGUGCAUGGAGCCUGCUUCUCCCUCUACCUGUGUCUCUGCCUCUCUCUCUCUCUCUCUCUCUAUCAUAAAUAAAUUAAUUAAUUAAUUAAUUAAUUAAUUAAAAAGACAGCCAUUAUAUAAUCCCAUUUAUAUAAAAUGUCCAGAAUAGGCAAAUCCAUACAGACACAAAGUAGAUUAGUAGUUGCCUAGGACUAGGAAUGAGGGAUGCCUGGGUGGCUCGGGUGGUGAGGCAUUUGCCUUUGGCUCAGGUCAUGAUCUCAGGGUCUUGGGAUUGAGUCCCACAUCGGGCUCCCUGCUCCAGGGGAACCUGGUUCUCCCUCUCCUCCCCACUUGUUCUCUCUCUCUCUCUCUCUCUCUAAUAAAUAAAUAAAAUCUUAAAAAAAAAAAAAAACACACUAGGGAUGAGAGGGAUGCUGAGGGAAAAAAGAAAGUGACUGCUAGUGGACACAGGAUUUCUAUUCAGGGUGAUGAAAUGUUCUACAAUUGUGAUAAUAGUUGCAAAACCCUGUGAAUAUACUAAAAAUAUUGAAUUAUAUAAACUUUGAAUGAGUUAAUUAUAUAUGAGUGAUAUCUCAAUAGAGCUGAUAGAAAAGAACAAAUAUAUUAUUGGGACCUCAAUGUAAAUGAUUUUGUUCCUUUAUUAAAAGAGCAGGACUAUUGGGGGCACCUGGGUGGCUCAGUCAGUUGGGCAUCUGCAUUUGGCUCAGGUCAUGAUCUGAGGAUCCUGGGAUUAAAUCCCACGUCAGGCUCUCUGCUCAGUGGUGAGUCUGCUUGUCCCUCUGCCUCUGCCUGCUGCUCCUCUUUCUUGUGCUAGCUCGAUCUCUCUCUGUCAAAUAAAUAAAUAAAAGAGCAGGGCCCUUAGCAUGGGUUAAAUUUUUUUUUAAUUUUAUUUAUUUAUUCAUGAAAGACACAGAGAGACAGAGAGGUAGAGACAUAGGAAGAAGGAGAAGCAGGCUCCAUGCCAGGAGCCUGAUGUGGGACUUGAUCCUGGGACUCCAGGAUCAUGCCCUGAGCCAAAGGCAGGCUCUUAACCACUGAGCCACCCAGAAGUCCCGGGUUAAAUUUUUUUUAUCAUGUAUCAGUGACAAGAAAUACCUGAAAUAAAAAAAAAUCACAGGGAAAUUUUUAAAAUAAAGGUCUGGGCAAAAUAUAUAUCAGAAGAAUUCAAGAAGAAAACAAAGAGUGGCAAAUUAUAAUUAGAUAAAAUAUUCUCUGAUCAUGCCUAUUACAAAAGAAUAAAAUAUUGAAUAUAUAUAUAUAGUCAACUAUAAAUUAACAUCACAAGCAAGUCUAAUCACUGAAUAUUAAAAAGUACUUUAUUGAUUAAUUCUUGGGUCAAAACAGAAUACAAACUUGAAAUUACAGAUUAUUCAGAAAUUAACAAUAGAUGGUUCAUACUACAAUCUAUAGGAUGCAAUCACAGCUACAUUACAGAGGAAAAUUAAUAGCCUUAAAAUGUUCUUUAAAAUAACCUUGAAAGCUACUAAUGAAUAAGCUAAGCAUUUAACACUAGGAAACUAGAAAAAGAGUAACAAAUCAAAAGAAGAGAAAAAUAACCCAUAAAAAAAAGCUUACAUUAAUGAAUUAGAAAACAAAGAUGAAAUUAAUAAAUAAA